ACAGUGUCUGGUGGGUAGUUUGACUGGGGCGGUCUCCUCCUAAAGAGUAACGGAGGAGCACGAAGGUUGGCUAAUCCUGGUCGGACAUCAGGAGGUUAGUGCAAUGGCAUAAGCCAGCUUGACUGCGAGCGUGACGGCGCGAGCAGGUGCGAAAGCAGGUCAUAGUGAUCCGGUGGUUCUGAAUGGAAGGGCCAUCGCUCAACGGAUAAAAGGUACUCCGGGGAUAACAGGCUGAUACCGCCCAAGAGUUCAUAUCGACGGCGGUGUUUGGCACCUCGAUGUCGGCUCAUCACAUCCUGGGGCUGAAGUAGGUCCCAAGGGUAUGGCUGUUCGCCAUUUAAAGUGGUACGCGAGCUGGGUUUAGAACGUCGUGAGACAGUUCGGUCCCUAUCUGCCGUGGGCGCUGGAGAACUGAGGGGGGCUGCUCCUAGUACGAGAGGACCGGAGUGGACGCAUCACUGGUGUUCGGGUUGUCAUGCCAAUGGCACUGCCCGGUAGCUAAAUGCGGAAGAGAUAAGUGCUGAAAGCAUCUAAGCACGAAACUUGCCCCGAGAUGAGUUCUCCCUGACUCCUUGAGAGUCCUGAAGGAACGUUGAAGACGACGACGUUGAUAGGCCGGGUGUGUAAGCGCAGCGAUG
rnacentral:rRNA from 1 species